UUCUACUGUUCUCUGUAGUUGGGGGUGUUC
rnacentral:piRNA from 1 species